rnacentral:snoRNA from 1 species
GCCUUAGGGAGGGAGAGCGGCCUGGGUUCCGCGUGGUGUGUGUGGACUUGCCGUGUUGCAUGCGAGGCGGGUGUGAGUCUAGUGUGAGUGGACGCACGAGUGUGUGAAAGUGCGCGCGUGGAGCGUGUUAGGUGAGUGCGUGUGCCCUCCCCGAACCCUUCCCUCCGCCUACACCUUGAUCUUAUUUGAUCGGGUCGUGACCCCAGCCCCGCCGGGCCGACCCGAAAUGAAAAGCUCUCCUCCUGCGAAGCCCCUUCUCGGGGCGCUGUGCAGCGAGGCCCCUAGGCGGCGGCAACGCUGCGGUCUCCGGUGUCCCGGAGUUGACUCUGCGGGGCCCGGCGCUCAGAAGUGAUGAAUUGAUCAGAUAGACGAGGUCGGGCUUGUCCCGGGCCACUGAUUAUCGAGGCGAUUCUGAUCUGG